CAGCCUGAAAAACAAAUAUGGAGUCACACAGCCAGGUCUUCAUAUUCCUGCUCCUCUGGUUGUCUGGUGCUGAGGGGAACAUUGUGAUGAUCCAGUCUCCUGAAUUCAUGUCCACAUCUGUUGGAGACAGAAUCACCCUAAGCUGCAAGUCCAGUCAGAGUGUGAGUGGUUAUGUAGCUUGGUACCAGCAGAAACCAGGGAAGCCUCCUAAACCACUAAUCUAUGAUGCAUCCAAUAGAUACACUGGGGUCCCUGAUCACUUCACAGGGAGUGGAUUUGGGACAGAUUUCACUGUCAGCAUCAGCAGUGUGCAGGCUGCAGACCUGGCAGUUUAUUACUGUCAGCAGUAUGACAAUACUCCUCCCACAGUGUCCAUGAGGUCAGAGCUGAACACCUGUAGCUGCUUUGGCGCUGUUGCGGCUGUAGGAGACACCUGUGUCUGGAAGGACACUGAAACAGAGAAAAUCCUUUUUGAAAAGUCAGUUACGGCGCUGUGUCCAGGUGGCAGCAGCGGGAACGGCAGGGGCAGCGGGGACGGCAGAAGUGGAGGGGACGGCAGGGGCGGCGUAGGCGUAGGCGUCGGCGUCGGCGGUGGCAGCGGGAACAACGGCGGGAAUGGCGGGAACAGCGGGUACGGCGGCAGCGGUGGCGGGAGUUUUAGAGAGAAGGAGAAAGAAUGUUGA